rnacentral:sRNA from 1 species
UUGCCACCUGCGGUGUUGCACUCUGGCUGCUGCUUCUGGGCACCGCUGUGUGUAUCCACCGCCGGCGCCGAGCUGGGGUGCACCUGGGCCCAGGUCUGUACAGAUAUACCAGUGAGGAUGCCAUCCUAAAACACAGGAUGGAUCACAGUGACUCCCAGUGGUUGGCAGACACUUGGCGUUCCACCUCUGGCUCUCGGGACCUCAGCAGCAGCAGCAGCCUCAGCAGUCGGCUGGGGGCGGAUGCCCGGGACCCACUAGACUGUCGUCGCUCCUUGCUCUCCUGGGACUCCCGAAGCCCCGGCGUGCCCCUGCUUCCAGACACCAGCACUUUUUAUGGCUCCCUCAUCGCUGAGCUGCCCUCCAGUACCCCAGCCAGGCCAAGUCCCCAGGUCCCAGCUGUCAGGCGCCUCCCACCCCAGCUGGCCCAGCUCUCCAGCCCCUGUUUCAGCUCAGACAGCCUCUGCAGCCGCAGGGGACUCUCUUCUCCCCGCUUGUCUCUGGCCCCUGCAGAGGCUUGGAAGGCCAAAAAGAAGCAGGAGCUGCAGCAUGCCAACAGUUCCCCACUGCUCCGGGGCAGCCACCCCUUGGAGCUCCGGGCCUGUGAGUUGGGAAAUAGAGGUUCCAAGAACCUUUCCCAAAGCCCAGGAGCUGUGCCCCAAGCUCUGGUUGCCUGGCGGGCCCUGGGACCGAAACUCCUCAGCUCCUCAAAUGAGCUGGUUACUCAUCAUCUCCCUCCAGCACCCCUCUUUCCUCAUGAAACUCCCCCAACUCAGAGUCAACAGACCCAGCCUCCGGUGGCACUACAGGCUCCCUCCUCCAUCCUGCUGCCAGCAGCCCCCAUCCCCAUCCUUAGCCCCUGCAGUCCCCCUAGCCCCCAGGCCUCUUCCCUCUCUGGCCCCAGCCCAGCUUCCAGUCGCCUGUCCAGCUCCUCACUGUCAUCCCUGGGGGAGGAUCAAGACAGCGUGCUGACCCCUGAGGAGGUAGCCCUGUGCUUGGAACUCAGUGAGGGUGAGGAGACUCCCAGGAACAGCGUCUCUCCCAUGCCAAGGGCUCCUUCACCCCCCACCACCUAUGGGUACAUCAGCGUCCCAACAGCCUCAGAGUUCACGGACAUGGGCAGGACUGGAGGAGGGGUGGGGCCCGAGGGGGGAGUCUUGCUGUGCCCACCUCGGCCCUGCCUCACCCCCACCCCCAGCGAGGGCUCCUUAGCCAAUGGUUGGGGCUCAGCCUCUGAGGACAAUGCCGCCAGCGCCAGAGCCAGCCUUGUCAGCUCCUCCGAUGGCUCCUUCCUCGCUGAUGCUCACUUUGCCCGGGCCCUGGCAGUGGCUGUGGAUAGCUUUGGUUUCGGUCUAGAGCCCAGGGAGGCAGACUGCGUCUUCAUAGGUAUGUGAGGUCUCCCCAUCUUACUCCUCACUCAUGCCCCUUGCCUUUCUAACAACUGUUAUCAUGUCAUCAUUGUUAAAACAA